GAGUUAUUGGCAAGUUCCCCUGCAGUUUGGGCUGUCUCUGUGGCUGGUUCUGCGGCGUGCGGCCAGCCAUGGAGCGCUCUGGGCCCAGCGAAGUGACAGGCUCAGACGCAUCGGGACCGGACCCGCAGCUUGCGGUCACCAUGGGCUUCACGGGGUUCGGUAAAAAAGCUCGCACAUUUGACUUGGAAGCAAUGUUUGAACAAACUCGAAGAACAGCUGUGGAAAGAAGUUGCAAAACACUGGGCCAGAUUACAGAGGGGUAUUGAUUUGCCUUGCCCCCGCCCCCACCAUCACAGUGUGUCCCUGUCCAGUGUUGGUGCUGUGUGGCAUUGGCUUGUGUCCAUAGGAGUCCAUCAAGGCAGAGCGGCAGAGUGGGAAGGCAGUUCAACCCAAUGGAAAUGGAUUGAAAGAGUGAAAGUCACUGGUCUCAAAGAAUCUACGGAAUUUAGCAUUUUGAAAAUCACAUAGCAAUUUUGGGUAGGUAUUCACCUGCACUAAAAAACCAGGCAAACAUCCGACUCCCAGGAUAAAGUGACUGAGAGCAGUAGAAGACUUGUUGAGCCUUAAGGAAUAAGAGGAAAAUUACGUUAUGAAGUGCAGGAACAGCACAGACCCAGACGAGGGGACGCAGCCCGGAGCCAGUAACCCGGCGCCACCUCCUCCCCAGGGCGCAGCGCUGGCUGAUCCCCAGAUACCGUGAUCACACGUCCCGGGUCCUGAGAGCGCCUCAUAGGUAGACAGUUCUUUGGGACUUCUGGGAUGCAGCACUUGAAGAGAGGUUUACCUAAACUUUCCUCCUGGGAGCCUGUGAUCAUUUGAAAGUAACAGAAGAAAGUUGUCAGGCUGAGGAAAGUUUCAACAGGCACUUGGUGAGAAUGGGAAGCAUCCAUUCAUUGUGAAAUCGCGGGGACAGAGGAGGAAUUCACGGGAUCAGAGCACUGAGAAACUCCAGAGGCUUCUGGUUCACCGCCCUGAUUCCACAGAUGUGGGUCAGAGGCAGAGAUGGAAGUUGGAAUGGACAAGCCUGCCCUCUCCUUGGCUCUCCAUGGCUCUGUCCUCAGGCUGUUUCUGCAAUUUGACAUGAGGCCUGGCCCCAGGGAAACCAGUGGGGCCUCAUCUCCUCCCUGUGCUGCUCUGAGGUGGAGCCUUCUCAGGGUCAGUCCAGCUCUGGAGCCCCUCUCCAGCUCGGUCACCAAAGCUGUCUGGUCCCAGGGCGGUGCUGAGUGACAGGCAUGCCAGCCAAUCCAAUCGGCAAUUUCAUAUCCAAUGCAUGUGACUGAUAAAGAGAUAACGCCCUGUCUCCAAGACACAGGCUUUACAUAAACAGCUUUAAUGACUUCUUCACUUAGAGACAAGACUCCUUAGUGGUGGAACCUCAGGCAUCCGUGCAGGACGUAAGAAAGCUGCCGUAUAUACAUGAACUGAGAAGUGUGUAGAAGAAUAAAUACUGUAAUAGGUAAUAAAAUGUAUGUAUUUUUAUUUAUGUGCUA
ensembl:lncRNA GUSBP1 GUSB pseudogene 1